rnacentral:rRNA from 1 species
GACGAACGCUGGCGGCGUGCUUAACACAUGCAAGUCGAACGGAAAGGCCCUGCUUUUGUGGGGUGCUCGAGUGGCGAACGGGUGAGUAACACGUGAGUAACCUGCCCUUGACUUUGGGAUAACUUCAGGAAACUGGGGCUAAUACCGGAUAGGAGCUCCUGCUGCAUGGUGGGGGUGGGAAAGUUUCGGCGGUUGGGGAUGGACUCGCGGCUUAUCAGCUUGUUGGUGGGGUAGUGGCUUACCAAGGCUUUGACGGGUAGCCGGCCUGAGAGGGUGACCGGCCACAUUGGGACUCGGAUGCCGCCCAGACUCCUACGGGAGGCAGCAGUGGGGAAUAUUGCACAAUGGGCGGAAGCCUGAUGCAGCAACGCCGCGUGCGGGAUGACGGCCUUCGGGUUGUAAACCGCUUUCGCCUGUGACGAAGCGUGAGUGACGGUAAUGGGUAAAGAAGCACCGGCUAACUACGUG